UUUUUUUAUUAUUGAUCAAAGCUAUUUCAUCGAAUACAUUGUUUAAUUGGCCAAAUGGCCAAAUUCCCCUAAAUAGUAUUGCCCCAGCUCGAGCCUCUGUAGAGUAAGGGAGAGCAGACGUACUCGUAAGAGCUGAUGGCGCCAUUGAAAUCUCUGGAGCGGGAAUACCCACUAAUCGACUCUAUUUUCCAGAACUUCUGUGCUUCUCAUGGAAUAUUUACAGUUGAAGAUUUUCUCAUACAUGAUCUAUACCUGUUAGCGGCUUUGGCAGAACAAAACAAUAACUCAGGGAAGCUGAAGCAGGGUAUCACCCAGGUUUUCUCUAUCAUUGAUAAUCAGUGUCGACCAUGGUUGAAUGGAUUGGAAUUGUUAAAUGAUGUUGAACAGAACAAGCAUGUUCUAUCUACAGGAUGUGAAAGGAUUGAUGCUUUUCUUCAAGGUGGACUACGUGAGGGACAUCUAACGGAGCUGGUUGGACCAUCGUCCUCUGGUAAAACACAAGUUUGCCUACAAGCUGCUUCAAAUGUUGCAAGAAAAUAUUCAGGCAGAGUGAUGUACUUUGUCUCUGGUAACUCUUUUUCAUCAAAACGAAUUGUGGAGUUUGUCCGUCAAAUGUCAGAUCCUGCUAAUAAUCAGGCAAACAGUACUCUUCAACAGGUCAUGAAGUGUAUAAUAUGCCACUCUAUAUUCGAUAUCUUCAGACUGCUGGAUGUGCUUCAUCAAUUAAAACAUAGUUUGAGAUCUCAGAUGGACUGUCAGGUUAGGAUGCUCAUUAUUGAUUCAAUAUCGUCACUUGUAAGCCCAGUUCUUGGAGGCAGUGGAGCACAUGGUAUACAUUCUUGACACGCUUUAAUGGCUACUGCCGGAUUCUUAUUGAAGGAGUUAGCACAUGAGAAUAAUCUUGCCGUUGUGGUGACCAAUCAUAUGGUGGCUGGUGAGGGUGGUGUUUCCAAGCCAGCACUUGGGGAAAGUUGGAAGAACAUUCCACAUGUGAGGCUUUUGUUAUCCCAAGAUCAUGUAACCAAUAUUAGCAGCAUGUCGAUACUUAAACACCCGUAUCUGGCCACAGGGAAGGCCACUGAGUUUGUGAUAAGGUGACUUGUCAGAUUAAUUACAAGCAAAUGCAUUCUAAAAGAGGACUCUUUUUGGUACAGGGAAAGCUGAUUACUAAUAACUCUGGUAAUACUCAGGGCAUUACUUAAGAUUAUUGAAGGCGUUACUUGAGAUUCUUCAAACUAGUAGGAACAUGACUUGUACUCUGGAAUUUAAAAACCGUUAAUACUUAUUUUAGUUAAUUGUGAAUUUUUGUUUA